CUUCAGCCAUUCGCCCUGCGCCCGCUGACGUGACGAGUCCCCGGUUGUGUUACGGCGGUGAGGCGGUGUUGCGUCUGUCCCUGGCGGGCAUGUUGUGGUGGACUGCGGUGUGGAGGGAGAGGUGGAUGUGAGUAUGGCCUGGUGGUGGAUAGGGAGGAGUGGAUAGUGGAAGAGAGAUGUGGAGAGUAGGAUGGUGGAAGGGGGAGGUGGAGGUGGCUAUGGCGGACGUGACUGGGUUGAGGUGGUGGUUGUGGUGGUGUUUGGUAUGGUUGCAAUGGUUGUAGAGGGUGUUGCUAGUGAUGGUGAACGUGACUGGCUUAUGUUAAAGGUGGUUGUGGUUGUUGGGGAUGGUGGUGGUUGUGUGACAGUGGUGGGUGCAGCGGACGCAACGGUGUUGUGGUUGUUGGGUGUGGUUGAGGAUUGCGAUGGUGGUGGUGGUGGAGGUGGAGGUGAUAGGUGGCGGUGGUCGUAGUCGGAGCGGGCUAAGCGGUGGUGGUGGUAGUGUAAAAAGGAAGUGGUGGUGGUGGCGGUGAUACGAUUAUCAGGGAUGAGAGAGAGAGAGAGAGAGAGAGAGAGAGAGAGAGAGAGAGAGAGAGAGAGAGAGAGAGAGAAUGUGUGUGUGUGUGUACUCCUAUAAUCAGCAAAUUGCAGUCACUCGUUCGCUGUUUCACCUCCCUGUUUCAGGCCUUCUCUCCCCUUCCCUUCCUCCCCGCUCCCUUCCUAGCCUGCCCGCCACCCUCUCCCCGCUUUUCCCUGCCUGUCCUCCCCUGCUCCUCGUGUCCCAGGUGACCCAUAAACUACCUCUAACAAUUGUGAUGAAGAACCAGGAGUGGGUUGUAGGUGACGAGAUAACUACCCCAGGUCAUCCCAGAAGUGGCGAGGUGACCCCAUACAGCUCCACAAGGUCGUGGAGGACGCCAGACAUAGCCACGUGGUCGCCUACACUCAGCCAUCCACCUCACCUACCCCAGACUGCUACCCGGACACCAUCCAGCCACUAGAACCCAGAUAAGCACUUCCGGGGUCCUUGGUUGUGGUUAGCUAGCUAGUUUGUUUAGGGGUCACUUGCUGUACAUAGGAACCCUCCUCGGUCUGAUGCUAUUUUUUUAUUUUAUUUUUGAGGUGUAACGCUGUGCUCUACGUGAGAGUGAUAGUGUUUAUCUUUAUUUAUUUAUUUUUUUUUUUUCCUGAAGACCAGUUCUGAGGUUAUCUUGGAGGUUAACGGAGAAGAGUUCUUCACACCUGUGUUUGUUGUUUUUUUUUUAUUUUUUUUAUUGGUCGUUUUUUGUUUUUUUGUUGUGAUUGUUAUUAAUUUUAUUUAUUUGUAUUGAAAUAUGUGAGUGUGAAUGCAGCACAAUAUAUAAAGGUGUGCAUUCCAGAGUGAAAGGAAGGCGUGCACAGGGUAGAGUGCACAGGAUGCAGUGCCUUGUUUUUAUCACCAGACCUUGAUUGAUUGAAGCAAAUGAAAACUUUGGUGUGAGUACCUUACAAAGACACUUGACAAUACUAAUGUCACCUCACCUCGUGGUUUCACCUUAAACCUACAAACAUUGGCUGGACACAAGGUCAUAGAAAUAAUUUAUUCUCAUUUAUUCUCAUCUUUACAAAUUACAGUCUUUACACAUCAAAGUAACUAAUCACCUUUAUUCAUCCACUUGAGGGGGUUGAAGGAUCGCUAAUCCCAUUUUAAAUUGCCUGUGUUCAACUCGCCUCUCCUCCCUCAUUUAUUGACCAAUUCAUUUAAAAAAUAUUUUGAUCAGGAAGGUUGCAGGAAGAAUGUCUGCUAUCUUUUUUUUUUUUUGUACGAUAAGUCUUUUUUUUCAAUGAAAAAAAAAGAAAACUGUGUCAAAUAUUUACUUUCAAAUAUUUGUCAGAAAUCAAAAUCAGUUACAAACAAAAAUGACGACAGCAGACUUUGUUCGCCUCUCACAGCUUGAUAAGCCGCAAUGGCCCAUUUGUGUGUAACACCAAUAACAACGGAGAUCAUUUUUAUAUGCCAAAAUCCGCCAUUUUAAGUUAUGUCAAAGUUUAAGGGGUGACUAUAAUACACCUAUUGCAGCUAAGGACUUGAAAUUCACAUGAUAUAUACAUCACAAUAUGUUGAAAAACAGAUAUAGAUUAAUUUAGUUACUACGAUUGGUUUUGUACAUAGGCCUAAAGUAAUUCAUGAUUUCACCCUUAAUUACCCGGGGGGGAGGGGGGGAAGGCGGGUGAAAACAAUUUUUGUUAUAUUUCGACUUUUAGAUCAAAACCAGUGUUUAACUGUUUGAAAUAAAUAAAAUAUUAAUGCAAAAGAUAUCUAAUGCAGGACACAUUGACUAUUUCCUAGAUUUACGGAAAAAUAUUUAUCUCAUUUUUCGUAUAUAAAUUUGAAAAAAAAUAGUUAGACCUAAAAUUACGUACUCUCUAAUGUUGUACGCAGCAAAAGAACCGUAGAUAUUCAUAGGAGACUGAGGAAGAACGGGUACGCCAGAAAGAAAAAAAAAAAAAAAAGUCAUGUCUCGCAGCGGGCGAAACCGUGAAAUUUCAUAACAGAAGACCUCAUUACAUUAGGGGAUAUAUAUAUAUAUAUAUAUAUAUAUAUAUAUAUAUAUAUAUAUAUAUAUAUAUAUAUAUAUAUAUAUAUAUAUAUAUAUAUAUAUAUAUAUAUAUAUAUAUAUAUAUAUAUAUAUAUAUAUAUAUAUAUAUAUAUAUAUCAAAACAUUACAUAUAUAAAAAAUGGGACAAGAUACAGAUAUGAGACUGUGAUCGGAGGAGCCCAACGGAGAAGAAAGGGUGACAGCAUAAGCAGAAGGAUUAGAGGUCAGGAAAAGGUCAAGAAUGUUGGGCCUAUCUUCAAGACGUCAGGAAUACGAGUAAGGUGUUGCACCAAUUGCUUUAGGUCGUGGAGAAUAGCAAAGUCUAAGGCUAGUUUACCAGGAUGGUCAGUGACGGGAGAGGAAAGCCAAAGUUGGUGGUGAACAUUGAAGUCAGUCUCCAAGAAUUAAGAUCUCUGCAAAAGGGAAGAGAGUCAAUGUGCUCCACUUUGGAAGUUAAGUAGUCAAAGAAUUUUUCAUAGUCAGAAGAGUUAUUUGAGAGGUAUACAGCACAGAUAAAUUUAGUUUGAGAGUGACUCUGUUGUCGUACCCAGGUGGUGGAAAACUCAGAAGAUUCAAGAGAGUGGAAAGCAGGUUAAGUCAUUGCGCACAUGAACACAGCAUCCAGCUUUGGAUCGAAAAUGAGGAUAGAGAAAGUAGGAGGAAACAGAAAAGGGGCUACUAUCAGUUGCCUCAGACAUCUGAGUUUUAGUGACGAAAGGAUGAUGAAGCUUAAUAGAGGAGAGGCAGUGUUCUACAGAUUGAACGCGAAUGUUGCAGAAGUUUAUGAAGAAAAACUGAGAGGGGUAUCAAGACAUUUAGGGUCGUUACCAGAAGAGCAGUCUGACCCGGGGACAAUUGUGGUCCGCUCACCAGAUGGGGUCUCCGAGGCUGGUGUAGGAGUAUGUGUGUAAUAAUUAGGUGCUGGUAGUUGUUUUGUGUGCAGGAAGAGAGAUAUCUCCAUGACUAUAACGUUUGGUACGAUUGAAAACAUCCUUUGAUUUCCACAGAUAUGUACACACACUAGUAACAGUUUUCAACUGUAGCACCAGAAACAGUCUUCCUCACACGAACCGUUUCACUGCCGGGACUUGAAGGCUGAUGAAGCAGUGCGGCGGAGGUCACGCCUCUCAGAGUGUUUAUACUUGUUGUCAACACCGCCAUAACUAAUACAAACUCUUUAGUGCAGGUAGUUAAAUAACUGCAAUCAUUGUUCCAGAUUCCUAAAUUCACAAAGUGCAUAACUCAUUCCAAGUUUUUAUUGCAGAUAAUUAAAGUUUUAGUGAAAUAAUUAUUCCUAUUCCUAAUGUUGUGUGGUGCAUUAUCUCAGACAGGCCCACUGGAAGCUGUCAGAGUGCUGUGGCACGUGGCAAGAACCAAGUGUUCAGGAGCACACACUGUCCCUUCACCAGUCAGCAGAUCUGGGCGGCUUGGGAGCCUCACUACAAACUGAAGACCCGUUCACUUGAAGGACAGUUGGAGUCGGACACAAGAUCCAAGAGGGAGUUAUUUUUAAACGAGAGCUUCAGGCAGAAAAUUCGAGUGGAUUUUCAACUCUAAAAAUAACUUUUUUGGGGGGAUAUUUUGAACCUUCUUUAUCUUGAAAAAUAACUCCAGAUAUUAUGACUCUAGCUGGAUGUUGACCUGAGCAAUGUAGGGUUUGCUGCAGUGAGAUUACCAAGGCACGAGUGUCUGGGAUUUAAAGAUGAUGGAUAUGUGUCCUGUGUGCUGCUGUGCUGGGAGGAGAGGAGCAGCAGCAGUCGUGGGGCUCUGUUGCUGCUGUCACUGGUGCAGCUGUUCACUCCUGCAGCUACCUUCCCUCAACAUACUGUGUCUUCCCUCACCUGCAAUGAACAACUAUGAACAAUACUUCUCCUGCGAUGAGGAACAGUGAAUAACCUCUCUCUCUCUCUCUCUCUCUCUCUCUCUCUCUCUCUCUCUCUCUCUCUCUCUCUCUCUCUCUCUCUCUCUCUCUCUCUCUCUCUCUCUCUCUCUCUCU